GGGCAUUUGGCACAGUGGUAGCGCGCACGCUUCGCACCUUCGCUCAGGAAAUGAAUGCGUGAGGCCCUGGGUUCAAUCCCCAGAAUGUCCA